AGCUCGUGUCGUGAGAUGUUGGGUUAAGUCCCGCAACGAGCGCAACCCUUGUCUUUAGUUGCCAUCAUUAAGUUGGGCACUCUAGAGAGACUGCCAGGGAUAACCUGGAGGAAGGUGGGGAUGACGUCAAAUCAUCAUGCCCCUUAUGCUUAGGGCUACACACGUGCUACAAUGGGUAGUACAGAGGGUUGCCAAGCCGUAAGGUGGAGCUAAUCCCUUAAAGCUACUCUGAGUUCGGAUUGAAGGCGUAACCUGGCCGACAUGAAGCUGGGGUUACUAGUAAUCGCAGAUUAGAAUGCCGCGGUGAGUGCGUGCCCGGGGCUUGUACACGCCGCCGGUCACACCACGGGAGUUGGAGACGCCCGAAGCCGAUUAUCUAACCUGUUGGAAGAAGUCGUCGAAGGUGGAAUCAAUAACUGGGGUGAAGUCGUAACAAGGUAGCCGUAUCGGAAGGUGCGGCUGGAUCACCUCCUUUCUAAGGA
rnacentral:rRNA from 1 species